CUGUACCCACAAUCCGCUACAGUGGGGUCGAAUUCCCUCCCAAGGUCUUAUUUCUGUAGGGUCUGACUUCGAUAAGUGAUGAAGAAAGCUGGGUCCUGCGCAAUGAAAACUUUCGAAACCCGUCAGGUCCGGGAGGAAGCAGCGGUAAGGGAGCACUUUCAUGUGCCGCAGGGCAGCCUGGCCGGAGUUAACUGUCGGAGUAACGCCUGGAGGGAUAGAUCGACGGAGGGUGCACGG
rnacentral:SRP_RNA from 1 species